rnacentral:lncRNA from 1 species
AUGUUUGAACUUCCAUGUCUGUGCUUAAAUACUGCCUACGUUCUGUGGGUAGCGCAGGUAAAGAGAGUUGCCGCUAAUCAAGCAAGAGACACAAAGCUAGGGAGGGUCAGAGAUAUUUUGGAGACUAGAAUUAGGACUGAAGAUGGUGGUGGAGAUAACUGUGUCUGGGCAUUCAUGGCUAGAGGACGUUCUUGGCUGACCACUGCUCUUUCCAAUGACCAGCCAGUGUGUGAGCGGAUGGCUGUGCUCCAGCUACUCAUGAGUGAAAACUCCUCCAGGAGAGCACCCUGCAGCUGUGCAUGGCGUGUUGCUCGUACCCUGGUGGAGGGGAUGGUGGUGGUGAGGAAUCGAUGUGGUGCCGGAGGGCUGCUUCCCCCACUGUCUGCCUCCUGCUGGUCGUGGCAGCAAGCCCUCGGCCCUUGCGUGGGCACCCGGCUCGAGCUGGGAUCACCUGAAAGAUGAGCUGGGCUCCAUCGGGCUGGUCCUCAAUGCAGAGAGAUGGAGCCUCCCACGUACCAAACCUGCCUGCCAGCUGUUUUGGGGUGGCCAACACGAACUGUCAUCACAAAGAAGCUGAAAAACAUCUUACUCAUCUGUGGUUAACCAGAUCCUUCAACCUGGCCUUAUCUGCUCAUCUCGAUGUCAGCAUAGCUGCAUCAACUGAAAAUGCCGUACAGCCUGUUCUUAAACUGCACUAUUAACCCUGGGCUUCGUGACUGAUUUUCCUGGAGACAGAGCCAUGCUGGUGAGCCGGCAGCUGCUUUGCUUGGGUCUUGCACAAACGUGGACUUCACUGCGGCCCUGCUGUGUGCUGGGGGUCCCUCGUGGCAGUGGCCUCCCGACACCAUCCUGUUUGCCGUCAGGAAGAAUGGAGUCAUGUGGGGCUGUUACAGGCCUGUUUCCUUGGGAUUUUCUCUAAGCAGAGCUGCUGUGGGCCACGCUGUCCGGGGCAACCAGGCAGUCUGUUCUUGUGGAAAUUGCCGCUGGUUGGGUCCCUCGGUGCCUCUUGGAGGGUCUGGGCCUGGGUUUCUGAUGAGACCAUAUGGAUCAUCCAGCAGGAAGGGUUCAAACUUGCCUUCCUUCAGGCAACUAUUUUAAUUACAAUAUUAUAAUACUACUAAUAAAAAGCAGGAUUUAAC